GAUGAAGAACGCAGCGGAAUGCGAUAAGUAAUGUGAAUUGCAGAAUUCAGUGAAUCAUCGAAUCUUUGAACGCACAUUGCGCCCGCCAGUAUUCUGGCGGGCAUGCCUGUCUGAGCGUCAUUUCAACCCUCAUGCCCCUAGGGCGUGGUGUUGGGGAUCGGCCAAAGCCCGCGAGGGACGGCCGGCCCCUAAAUCUAGUGGCGGACCCGUCGUGGCCUCCUCUGCGAAGUAGUGAUAUUCCGCAUCGGAGAGCGAUGAGCCCCUGCCGUUAAACCCCCAACUUUCCAAGGUUGACCUCAGAUCAGGUAGGAAUACCCGCUGAACUUAAGCAUAUCAAUAAGCGGAGGA
rnacentral:misc_RNA from 1 species